UACAGAGGGUGCGAGCGUUGUCCGGAAUCACUGGGCGUAAAGGGCGCGUAGGUGGCGUCGCAAGUCGAUGGUGAAAGCUCGAUGCUCAACAUCGAGUCGGCCAUUGAUACUGCGAGGCUCGAGCACUGUAGAGGCAGAUGGAAUUCCGGGUGUAGCGGUGGAAUGCGUAGAGAUCCGGAAGAACACCGGUGGCGAAGGCGGUCUGCUGGGCAGUUGCUGACACUGAGGCGCGACAGCGUGGGGAGCAAACAGG
rnacentral:rRNA from 1 species